rnacentral:rRNA from 1 species
UACGUAGGGUGCUAGCGUUGUCCGGAUUUAUUGGGCGUAAAGAGCUCGUAGGCGGCCUGUUGCGUCCGCUGUGAAAUCCCGGGGCUCAACCCCGGGCCUGCAGUGGAUACGGGCUGGCUGGAGGCAGGCAGGGGAGAACGGAAUUCCUGGUGUAGCGGUGAAAUGCGCAGAUAUCAGGAGGAACACCGGUGGCGAAGGCGGUUCUCUGGGCCUGUUCUGACGCUGAGGAGCGAAAGCGUGGGGAGCGAACAGG